rnacentral:tRNA from 1 species
GCGCCUGUAGCUCAGUUGGAUAGAGCACAGGGUUUCGAUCCCUGGUGUCGGAGGUUCGAAUCCUUCCAGGCGUGCCA